rnacentral:ncRNA from 1 species
AUUCAGCCGCGGUAAUUCCAGCUCCAAAAGUUAUAUUUAAGUUGUUGCGGUUAAAAAGCUCGUAGUUGGAUUUUGGGCGCAGGCGGCCGGUCCGUCGCAAGGCGUGUACUGGACGUCCUGGCCUUCCCUCCGGUUCUCCGCCGGUGCUCUUGACUGAGUGUCGGCGGCGGCCGGAACGUUUACUUUGAAAAAAUUAGAGUGUUCAAAGCAGGCUCUCGAGCCUGGAUAAUGGUGCAUGGAAUAAUGGAAUAGGACCUCGGUUCUAUUUUGUUGGUUUUCGGAGCGCGAGGUAAUGAUUAAGAGGGACAGACGGGGGCAUUCGUACUGUGCCGUUAGAGGUGAAAUUCUUGGAUCGGCGCAAGACGAACGACUGCGAAAGCAUUUGCCAAGAAUGUUUUCUUUAAUCAAGAGCGAAAGUCAGAGGUUCGAAGACGAUCAGAUACCGUCCUAGUUCUGACUAUAAACGAUGCCAACUAGCGAUCGGGGGGCGUUACAUUGACGACCCCUCCGGCAGCUUACGGGAAACCAAAGUCUUUGGGUUCCGGGGGAAGUAUGGUUGCAAAGCUGAAACUUAAAGGAAUUGACGGAAGGGCACCACCAGGAGUGGAGCCUGCGGCUUAAUUUGACUCAACACGGGAAAUCUCACCCGGCCCGGACACAGUGAGAAAUUGACAGAUUGAGAGCUCUUUCUUGAUUCUUUCCACCACAGGGCGAGAAUCAAUUGCCUUCGGCCCGCCAAAACCCCCCCCCCCCACAAACA